rnacentral:rRNA from 1 species
AUUGAACGCCGGCGGCAGGCUUAACACAUGCAAGUCGAGCGGGGUGAUGGUGCUUGCACUAUCACUUAGCGGCGAACGGGUGAGUAAUGCUUAGGAAUCUGCCUAUUAGUGGGGGACAACAUCUCGAAAGGGAUGCUAAUACCGCAUACGUCCUACGGGUGAAAGCAGGGGAUCACUUGCGACCUUGCGCUAAUAGAUGAGCCUAAGUCGGAUUAGCUAGUUGGUGGGGUAAAGGCCUACCAAGGCGACGAUCUGUAGCGGGUCUGAGAGGAUGAUCCGCCACACUGGGACUGAGACACGGCCCAGACUCCUACGGGAGGCAGCAGUGGGGAAUAUUGGACAAUGGGGGGAACCCUGAUCCAGCCAUGCCGCGUGUGUGAAGAAGGCCUUAUGGUUGUAAAGCACUUUAAGCGAGGAGGAGGCUCUUUUGGUUAAUACCCAAGAUGAGUGGACGUUACUCGCAGAAUAAGCACCGGCUAACUCUGUGCCAGCAGCCGCCGUAA